UGCCAGGUCGUCUAACGGUAGGACCGCGCCCUCUGGAGGCGUGUAUCUUGGUUCGAAUCCAAGCCUGGCAGCCA
rnacentral:tRNA from 2 species